GACCNGUCUCCAAGCACGGACCAAGGAGUCCAACAUGUGCGCGAGUCUAAGGGUUGUGUAAACCUGGAGGCGAAAUGAAAGUGANCUCCUUUUUGGGGCAGGCNGAUCCCUUGUCAGGAAGUGGNCUGUGCAGGGUUGUUGUAGGUGAUUGAAUUUGCUUGUANCAAUUGAUGUGCAGUUUUUGUUUUUGGCUGUCCUNCUCCCUUUCGGGGGGGUUGGAUUUUGGGCNCAGGCCGAGGACUUGCCAUAGUGCGGCGCGGGCAACGGGUUGCUUUCGGGCUUCCUUAUCCCGAUGUCCGCCGGCAAGUACCUGAGAGCGCAGCCGUUGGGACCCGAAAGAUGGUGAACUAUGCCUGGCGAGGACGAAGCCAGAGGAAACUCUGGUGGAGGUCCGAAGCAGUUCUGACGUGCAAAUCGAUUGUCAGAAGCUGGGUAUAGGGGCGAAAGAG
rnacentral:rRNA from 1 species